UACGAAGGGGGCUAGCGUUGUUCGGAAUUACUGGGCGUAAAGCGCACGUAGGCGGAUAUUUAAGUCAGGGGUGAAAUCCCAGAGCUCAACUCUGGAACUGCCUUUGAUACUGGGUAUCUUGAGUAUGGAAGAGGUAAGUGGAAUUGCGAGUGUAGAGGUGAAAUUCGUAGAUAUUCGCAGGAACACCAGUGGCGAAGGCGGCUUACUGGUCCAUAACUGACGCUGAGGAGCGAAAGCGUGGGGAGCAAACAGG
rnacentral:rRNA from 1 species